rnacentral:other from 1 species
GUCAGGAUUGAGUAGGACAGCUUUAGGAUAAGCCGGAACACCUCAAGGAUUGGGGUUAGGGAUAGCGCUCUGGGAUAGGGCAAGAGGACGGCUUAGGGACGAGUAUCAGGAACCCUUCAGGAUGAAGGUAGUGGACACCGCCAGGAAGGACGAGAGAGUCGCACAUGGACAAUGCGAUGGGUCAAGGAACUACCAAGGACAACCCAGGAUAGGGUUUAGGGAUUACCGCUAAGGAUUUAGAAUAACAAGGAUAGUCGCAGGGAGCACUGUCGUAGCGGGAAAGCUGCAUGUAAGACCUAAGGGCGCAACGCAAGUUGCGCCCGUUCUUUUUUUG